rnacentral:rRNA from 1 species
GACGAACGCUGGCGGCGUGCUUAACACAUGCAAGUCGAACGGUAAGGCCCUUCGGGGUACACGAGUGGCGAACGGGUGAGUAACACGUGGGUGAUCUGCCCUGCACUUCGGGAUAAGCCUGGGAAACUGGGUCUAAUACCGGAUAGGACUCCGGACUGCAUGGUCUGGGGUGGAAAGCUUUUGCGGUGUGGGAUGGGCCCGCGGCCUAUCAGCUUGUUGGUGGGGUGAUGGCCUACAAAGGCGACGACGGGUAGCCGGCCUGAGAGGGUGACCGGCCACACUGGGACUGAGAUACGGCCCAGACUCCUACGGGAGGCAGCAGUGGGGAAUAUUGCACAAUGGGCGCAAGCCUGAUGCAGCGACGCCGCGUGAGGGAUGACGGCCUUCGGGUUAUAAACCUCUUUCAGCAUCGACGAAGCGAAAGUGACGGUAGGUGCAGAAGAAGGACCGGCCAACUACGUGCCAGCCGCCGCAGUAA